rnacentral:lncRNA from 1 species
GGACAAUGCUGUGAGGCUCUGUGGUUUCGUGGAGCAAAACCCCACACAUCCCCAUGAGCAAGCCAGGGUCCUCCUACACACCAGACUCCUCAGAAACCAGAGUCGCAUGGGGUGAGGAGCCCAGGGACCGUGGCUGGACUGCAGGGUGGACCCAGCUUCCCCUCUACCUGCUAUUCCUCUGUUUACUGCACAUAAAAAUAGAUGCGACAGAAUCUUACUAUGUUGCCCAGGCUGGAGUGCAGUAGAUUUUUACAGGUGUGGGGAAACUGUCAACACCCUCGCCUCUGCAGGAGGUAUGGCCAUGUAACGCAUUGGGCCAAAUGACUGGGACAGGCAGCAAAACCAGUGUGCACUUUUCCGUGUUCUCUUCAUUUGGGUAACCAGUUCCUGCCUGUGGAAAUUUACCUUCCAAUACUCAAAAUAAAUGAAUAUCAUUUUCUGAAAGUUAAAACUCCUUUAUGACUUCCUUUGUUUUCAAAUGUACAUUAGGAUUUCAUUUCAC